CCUACGGGAGGCAGCAGUGAGGAAUAUUGGUCAAUGGGCGAGAGCCUGAACCAGCCAAGUCGCGUGAAGGAUGACGGCCCUACGGGUUGUAAACUUCUUUUGUCAGGGAGCAAUUGGGUCCACGCGUGGGCUUAGCGAGAGUACCUGAAGAAAAAGCAUCGGCUAACUCCGUGCCAGCAGCCGCGGUAAUACGGAGGAUGCGAGCGUUAUCCGGAUUUAUUGGGUUUAAAGGGUGCGUAGGCGGAAUAUCAAGUCAGCGGUAAAAAUUCGGGGCUCAACCCCGUCGUGCCGUUGAAACUGAUGUUCUUGAGUGGGCGAGAAGUAUGCGGAAUGCGUGGUGUAGCGGUGAAAUGCAUAGAUAUCACGCAGAACUCCGAUUGCGAAGGCAGCAUACCGGCGCCCGACUGACGCUGAGGCACGAAAGCGUGGGGAUCGAACAGGAUUAGAUACCCUUGUAGUC
rnacentral:rRNA from 1 species